UAAGCCCGCAAAAUUCGAAGGGGGAAAAGUGGAGGCCCGUGUUUUCGAACUCUUUGCUGUGUGUCCUCGCUGUAGAACCCCUCCUUAUCGCUCUGUAUUGGCAGUCUGCUCCACCCGAGGAUGCCCUCCGAUCAGUUGUCGCUGGAAGGGGACCACCGGUACGUGAAGAUGCAGUCCGAACCGCCUAUCGCAGUGCCGUCGUCGCAUUCCUUCCGGCUGCAGGAACACCCGCGGAUCUUUGACAAAUUGCCCAAGGCGGACAUCGUAUCUGUGUCCCGGCCCGACGCCAGAGACAUCAGCCCCAUGCUCCUCUCCUACACCGUCGAAUUCCGUUACAAGCAGUUUAAAUGGCGCUUAGUAAAGAAAGCCUCACAAGUAUUAUGCCUACAUCUUACUUUGGAGAAGCGUGCAUUUAUUGAAGAACUUCAUGAGAAGCAGGAACAGGUCAAAGUGUGGCUCCAAAAUCUUGGUCUUGGUGAGCGUGUCACGCCUAUUGUGCAAGAUGAUAAGCCUGUUACUUUAGCACAAGAGGGGAACUUGUCUGCUAAAAGCAGAGAUAUACCUUCUAGUGCUGCACUGCCAAUAAUCCGGCCAUCACUGGGGAGACAGCAUUCUGUUUCUGACAGGGCAAAAGUGGCUAUGCAAGGGUAUCUGAAUCAUUUUCUAGGGAGCUUUGAUAUUGUAAAUUCUGAGGUUUGCAAGUUCUUGGAGGUCUCACGGCUAAUCGUUUUUGUCAGUAUGUACCUAAGCUAAAAGAAGAUUAUGUUACAGUGAGACAUUUACCAAAAAUUAAAAAGAGCGAUGAUGAUAGAAGUUGUUGUUCCUGUCAUUUGUUUUGUUGUUAUCAUGAGAGCUGGCGAAAGAUCGAUGUGCUUAUAGAAGAUAAAGAAUUUGUUGAAUUACUUAUGGAUGGACAACCAUGGAAAGCUGGAAAUUUUUCUCGUAGUCUUCGCCUCUCACUGUGGCUGGAACACCUGGGUCCCCGUGUUGGACAGAUCAAUCAGAUUCAGGAUCCUGUCGCCGAUGCAACAUACAGGGACGUCCGGAUGGCGACUGCUAAGACUAACGCCACGAUCUACCGUGAUGUCUUUUCAUGUGUCCCCAAUGAUCUUAUCCACUCCAGAUCUGCUUUCCGGCAAAGCACCAACUACUGCAAGGAGAAAAUUGGGAAUACAACCAUCGAUUUAGGAAUUGCUCUCGAGAAGCUGGAGGCCUAUCAGAAUGGAGCCAUCAAAAACACGGAUCCAAUGGAGAGAUUACAGUCAGUGAGAGGUCACCUUGUUUCUUUUCCUUUGGAUUUUGCACAUGUGCAAUGAGGAUCUGAGACCGGGUUUCAUCGAAGGUGAAUUCUAAGCAUCUCGAGUGUUCCACUAAGCUGUAUAUGUUUGUAAAAUCGAAGGUUGUGCACAUGCAUUAUUACACAACCACAUUGAUGUUAAUGAACAUGUCAAGCAUUUGUAACAGUAUAAAAGAAUAAAAAAGGUGAGGCUCCUUGAAGGAGCAAAACAUAAUGAUUUGUUGAUUCGU